CCCCGUGUAUUAACUUUCAGACCAGCUGAACGCAGCUGAAAGGCUGAACACGUAUGGCCAAGACAAGGACUACCACAGCAUCCUCAAAUAAUUACACCUAUUUCAUUAGAAGAAAUGUGGAAGCUAAAGGCUUGGUACCAACUUUUUGAGACUGAAAUCAUGCCUUCAAGAAGGAUGUGAAGGGAACACUUUCACUAUCAGGUCUCAUGGGUUAAGCUCCCAGUGAAGUAAGGAUCAAUAUGUAUAUUUCAUAUUUAAAAUAUCACAAACAGCAAGGAUCAGAAUUAUAUACAUUCAUUUCAAAAGUCAUGAAGAACUUGGAGUGCUUUAACUGGCAACAGCAGGAAAACAGAAAAGGACCAGUUUUCAGAAGGCUGAAGGGGCUCUUGACCAAACCCAAAGAAAAUAUGUCAGACCUGAAACGUUUUAGCUGUUUUCAAGAAUGAUACUCUGACACCUUUCCUGUAUCUACUGAAGGAUGGGCCAGCAAUCCAUACCGUGACAAAGGGCUGUCUCUACGUUCCUGGGAUCCAGCCCUGAUGCCCCAGCACAGCUCACACUCAAAGGAAAAAAGGAGCUGGCAACUGCAUAAUGAAUACGAGUUGGCUUUAUGCAGUACUUCACCAUCACGUUGCAGCAAUGGAAACAUUUCUGACAGGAUGAACAAGACUUGAUCCCCAAAGCAUGAUGACCACAUUUAGGCUUAACUGAUAAACUUGAUGAGAACACAGCAUGCGAUGGGAGGAGGAGAAGUUUCCCAAAAACUUCACCCAGAGGUUUCAUGCCCUGUUGAGACAGACACCAAGUGAGACAGUGCCAGCAGCCUGUCCUCCCACCACUGCCAGCCUUGGUGCCAUCAUCUCCUCCUGCCAUGGCACGGAUGGGACCGAGCACAGAGGGACCACUUCUCUGGGCAGAGAGACUCCAGAGCCAGCUCCGGGUGCCGGUGGAGCCGCUGGUGGAAGGUACCACAUCCUCAAGUGUCACACUCUGGACAAACAAUCUUCAAGUGUCACCAGUCCUCUUGGGUGUUUAUACAGUACGGCCAGUGCAAUUCUGUAAUCCACCAUUUCAGGUAAUAAGGGCAAGGCCAUUCCUAUUUUUAAAGCAGAACUGGUUUACUGAAAGGCGUGAUUUUAAACCGAUACCAAGAGCAAUGCAAUCCCAUAAACCUGUGUUUUCUAACUUACGUUAUAGCUACUAUGACCAGUGUAGCUUGCAUCAUAUCAAAGACUAAGGAUCUCCAUUAUUAAAUCCGCUAAGCCAAACAUGAAUAAAAUCAAGGCUUAGAUCCCUCAACAGAUAUGUACAUUAAGAAAAAUUUACAUCCAACUUUCACUAACUAAUCGUGGACAUUAAGUUUGAAAACAGACUUAACUGAUCCACCAGAAAUCAG